UUUCGCUUUAAAAUAUAUAUAUUUUUUUCGUUUACGAAUCUGAAAGUUUCAGAUACAAAACUUUUGGUCCUCUUGUGGCACAUUGAGGCGGGGCUAACAUGAGGACCAAUUAAAAUCGAUGAGGGGGGUCUUCAGUCCUGGUGCGUUCAGUGACUCUGAUAAGUCAGAACUGUAAUAAUUACCGUCAGAUUGUUUAGUCUGCCCUAUCAUAGUCUGUGUCCAAAUUCAGGUGCUGCGACCUCCCGAGGCCGGGUUUGUCGGCUGGUGACGUCACAGCGUCGCGACAAGUGCUGUCCAAAUUCAGGGUCUGCUUCAAACUCGGCCGACGAACGCGGCCUUACUCUUUCGAUUUUGAAGGAUCGUUCUGGUGUAUCCUGCUAUGCUGACCGUAUCCCAAGAUGCAUUGCGGUCGGCCCCGAAGAUUUUUUCUGGCAACAAUGGCGGACGUUGAUGCGGGACGGGGAGUCGGGGAAAAUUUCACUUUUAAAUAGCCGGCGUCACCGACCCUGUUCUUCGUGAACUCCACUGCUCUGCUUCAGUAAUUCCUGAUUAGCUGGAUUGGAUGAGCUCCGUUUCUGAUUGACUGAACACACCUGAUCAGGUGAGCAGAAGUAACUGAAACAGGUUAAGCUGCUAAACAAACAGGGGAGGAGCUCAAUAACAUCAGAGUUGGUGACCAUUACUAUAGAGUUGAGUGUUUUUGUGUUUUAAUGUGAAACAUUUUUGAGAGGGAUUAAACCUGUCAUCUCUCCCGCUUUGUUUUCUGUGUUUUUCAGGACAAUCCUGAAGAAAAUGGAUCUGCUGGAGAAGUACAGCAGUGGGUGAAAGAGAAGAGAGUGAAGAAAGAGAAGGAAGGAGUGAGCUAGCGACUGGUAGAAGAAAAAUGAGAAGAAACAGUGAUGAGCUUCUAGACCUGAUCAGAGAGGACAUGAGGCAGAAGAGCAGAGCGCACGAGAGAGGAGGGAAACUUUUGACCAACUUUAGUCUGAUGGAAAGAAUUGUCGUUAAAAUUCUUAGAUUUCUGAGAAUAAAUAAAUGAAGUUUAUAUUUGAUAUAUUAAAAAUGUUUGUUUUUGUUUUGUUAAUUUAAAUAAAGAUCUAAAUCAAACACAGUGAUUGUCAUGGAUUAAUUGUAACUUUUAUUUUCAACUAUUUACAAAGAUAGUUGACAUGGAUGGGGGGGCUAAGACUGAGACCCGGGCUGGAAUUUUCUGGGUGGUUAUUGAACAUCUUGCAAGGUGGUCUGCAGAGUGUUUCAGGAUCAUCUUCACUGUAGACUGUAUCGUCCAUCUUCACGGUUUGCAGGGCUGGCUGUGGACGGAUGCUGCAUGACCAAAAAUGAUCCAUAAAUAUGAGAUAAUGAAUUUACAGGCUUUGGAA